GACGAACGCUGGCGGCGUGCUUAACACAUGCAAGUCGAGCGGUAAGGCCCUUUCGGGGUACGACGAGCGGCGAACGGGUGAGUAACACGUGGGUGACCUGCCCUUAGCUCUGGGAUAAGCCUGGGAAACGUAGGGUCUAAUACCGGAUAUGACUCCAUGACGCAUGUUGUGGGGUGGAAAGCCUUGUGCGGCUAGGGAUGGGCCCGCGGCCUAUCAGCUUGUUGGUGGGGUGAUGGCCUACCAAGGCGACGACGGGUAGCCGGCCUGAGAGGGCGACCGGCCACACUGGGACUGAGACACGGCCCAGACUCCUACGGGAGGCAGCAGUGGGGAAUCUUGCGCAAUGGGCGAAAGCCUGACGCAGCGACGCCGCGUGAGGGAUGACGGCCU
rnacentral:rRNA from 1 species